GACGAACGCUGGCGGCGUGCCUAAUACAUGCAAGUAGAACGCACAGUUUAUACCGUAGCUUGCUACACCAUAGACUGUGAGUUGCGAACGGGUGAGUAACGCGUAGGUAACCUGCCUGGUAGCGGGGGAUAACUAUUGGAAACGAUAGCUAAUACCGCAUAAUAUUAAUUAUUGCAUGAUAAUUAAUUGAAAGGUGCAAUUGCACCACUACCAGAUGGACCUGCGUUGUAUUAGCUAGUAGGUGAGGUAACGGCUCACCUAGGCGACGAUACAUAGCCGACCUGAGAGGGUGAUCGGCCACACUGGGACUGAGACACGGCCCAGACUCCUACGGGAGGCAGCAGUAGGGAAUCUUCGGCAAUGGACGAAAGUCUGACCGAGCAACGCCGCGUGAGUGAAGAAGGUUUUCGGAUCGUAAAGCUCUGUUGUAAGAGAAGAACGGGUG
rnacentral:rRNA from 1 species